rnacentral:misc_RNA from 1 species
ACACUAGCCGAUACCAAGACAAGUCACAAGAUGCCGGCAUACAAGUUGAUGUACUUUGACACUAAGGGGAGAGCCGAGGUCAUCCGAUUGGCCUUUGCGGCCGCUGGACAGUCAUUUGAGGAUAAAAGAUUUCCACUUUCAAUGGAAGAAUGGCAAGCUGUGAAACCGAGUUUGUAUAUCUAUUCAUUCCGUCAAAUCAGAGUUUUGCAAAUUAUUUCAAUAAUUUUAUUAAGAUAAAAUUAAGCGUAUUCUUAAGAAGAGUAAGGAAAAAUAAGACGUGUGAAGAAAUUAAGCCAGUUGACCUUUAGGUACUUAUCGCAAAUACAACUAUCAGAUACUUGCACAGUGACGAACAUCAACUUUUGUUUUUAAAAACUGGUUUUGAGUUACCCCUAUAUGCAUACACUACUUCUUGGAGAGAAGCUGCAGAAUUGUAGCUCCACAGGAAACUUUCAAUCAACUCAGCUGUGGUUGUUUUGUAGAUUAACAGUUUUGCAAUGAUAAUGAUGGUUGCUUGCAAUCAGAAAAUAUUUUUGUUUGUUUCAAAAUGAAUGUAUAUUCCAUAUAGUUCAGUUUCAGCUAUCGCUCGAGCGUGUUAAAUACGCUUUUUAUCGAUUUUAAACAACAACUGAGCGAGGCCCGGUGAAAUGCCUGGGAGACAGCGGCACGCUAGUGUCAUUUAAUGGUUGGGCUAGUAUAUACAAUAUCUUCGGGUUCGGUGCAAAACACUCCGAUCAAAUUCAUGCAAAAUUCUUAAACAAUGAUAAAUAAGCAACAACAUCAAAAACAAAACAAAGUUUAUUUGACAAAUCACAGAAAACUGUGAACUUGUAAAUAAAUGCAUUCUUAACUGCUGCUCUUCUUGUGGAUUAGAUGACAUAUUUUCUUCGGAUGAAUAAUUUUUUUCUUCAAGGCAAAAAGAUGACAUUUUCCUUAAGGUAGCUAGGUCUUUUCAUGACUAAAAAGAAUGCGGUGUACAAAGCAACCCAGAAAUUUGAUAUCUGUUUUACAGCAAUACCACAAAAGCAGUUGCCGUGUCUUCAGGUAGAUGGUCGCCUUAUCCCUCAGUCCGGAGCAAUCAUGAGAUAUGUUGCCAGGGAAUUCGGGUUGUACGGGGACAAUAAUGACGAGAACACUCGUGUUGACGUCAUCAUUGGAACCGCCGAAGAUUUUUUGAAGAACGCCUUUGCACUUAGAUAUGAAAAAGACGAAACCAAAAGGGCAGAGUUAAAGAAAGACCUGGAAGAAAACAAGCUUCCUCAGUUUUUCAGCUUGUUGGAGGAGAUCUUAAAGGAAAAUAAUGGCGGGGAUGGUUUUUUUGUUGGUAAAAAGAUAUCGUUAGCGGACAUCAUGAUUUAUGACAUCACUGACCAGGUCGGCGCUGCAGCAAAACUUCCGGCUUUCCCACCAAAACUGGGAGGGCUAAUUGACAGAGUGAAGAAUCAUCCCAAGAUAAAGGAAUAUCUAGCUAAAAGAGGAGAUUGAACACGAAAAGGAAAAGUUACCAUUAAAUCAACGUGAAACCCAUCCGUUAGAUUAAUUCUAUUUUCCGGACUGUUGUGUAUUGGUACAGGCAACUUUAAGGACUUUUCUCAUGUGUCAUCAAUAUUUUAAUUCAAAAUCACCAUUCUUAUGCCAUCUUUAUGUAUGAUGUAAUAUACUAGUUUAUGUAUUGUGUUAAUUAAAUGGAUUUUUU